AACUCCGCCUUGCUUCCCCAUUCCUGGCGACCACUGCUUCUGUCUCUGUGAAUUUUGACUAUUCUAGGCACUUCACAAAACUGGACUCAUACGAUAUCUGUAGUUUUGCGUCUGGCUUCUCUAUUGAAUUCUUAAAGGGGGGUGGGAACUAAGCAGAUCACAAGGGAGCUGCCCACAGAGGUAAAGACAAGGUCAGGUAGGCUGAGAGACGCAGGAAAGCGGGUCAAGGCGUAGGGCUGGAGGGCAGGGGCGGGCCCUGGGCGUGGGCUGGGGGUCCUGCCCCGGGGCGCACCCCGGGCGAGGGCUGCCCGGAGGAGCCGAGGUUGGCGGACAGCUUGGCCCUGAGCUUGAGGGGAAGGCAGCGAUGGGACAAAGGACGGAGGUCUAGGAAGAGGGUCUGCAGAGCAGAAAGCACGGGUAGGGGCGGCCUGACGCUCGGAAGACAACGCAUGGGAGCCGUGUGCACGUCGGGAGCUCGGAGUGAGCGUGAGUUCCGUGCCCAGGCCCGCGACUCGGCCCGACAGGACAGCGCUCCGGGUCGACGGGGUCCUGGAGCCGCGCUCGGGGAGGGCGCAGCGGAGGGCGAGCGGCGGCGUUAGGACCCGGAGGCGCGGGCGGACUGGGGGCGGCGGGGCUAGGACCCAGCGGCUCCGGCAGAGCGGAAGCGGCGGCGGGAGCUUCCGGGAGGGCGGCUCGCAGGUAGGAGGCGUCCGGGGCCGCGGGAAGUAGGGUCGUGGGGGCCUGGCGGGGCGAAGUAGGGGACCCGGAGGGGCUGGAGGGAGGCGGGCGGGAGGCCCGGGACCGUUCCUGACCGAGAAGCCUGCGCCAAGCUGGUGUUCCGCGGCCGCUGCCCGGUGCCCGGCUCCACUGCGAACGCCGCCGCUGGGCCCCGACCGCCCGGGAGGCGUCUUGGGCUCGCCCCGGAGCUUCCUCCCUGGAGCCGCGCCCUGCACCCGGCCUUGCCCGGCCCUAGCA
ensembl:lncRNA WASH5P WASP family homolog 5, pseudogene